rnacentral:lncRNA from 1 species
AUUCUGAGUGUCUUGAGUUCUUAACAUUUGCAUGUGUUCCCGUUUCCCGUCGGGCGUUUUCCAUGGUGAGGAAGGAACUUUUAAAUAAAUUAGAAAAGGAGUGAGGAUCUGGCUUCAGAAUGGAAGCAUAGCUGCAAUUUGUAUUUUAAAAUUAUGUGGCCGAGUUUCUUGGUAGGAAAAGAAGAGACAGUUCUUGGUUGGAGAUCAGGAAAAAAAGAAAUCUUUUCUUUCUUUCUUUUUUUUUUUUUUUUUUUUUUUUUAAAUCCCAGUUAGAACUCAGGAAAGGCGCUUGAAUGCGCUUUUAACAAUAUUUAAAGCGGUUUCGACGAAUGCAUUGUGAAGACCAUUCCCAGUGAACUCUAUUGAAUGUCUAAUACACAAGGUAUUCCAGCUACUGGCCAGGCUUCAAUAAAAGGUUAGCUGCAUUUUUUUUCCUCCUAAGUAAGUCUUAUUUUUAACUGAGCAUUGACAGUAUCUUAAAAUGGUAACGUGGGCGUGGGCGUUGUGUGCAUAGCAGUCUAGCCGGUUGGGUACCCUGCUCCUGUACCUAGUUCACAGACUCGAGUGCAUUUUUUUUUGGCGAGAUUUCCAUCUUUGAAGAAACAAAAAAACAAAAACACCUGAACCAGCGUUCUCUUAUUCUUUAAGCUGUGGAAAUAAUUUCCAGUUUCUACAUUCUCGAUAUGCAUCCUUAUUAAAAAGAUAAUACGAAUGAAAGGCAGUGUGCUUAAAGUGUGCUUUGCAAAUACAUGUUAUGAAUGACUACGGUCACUGGGCAAAUUAUUUGUAGAAUGAUUAGCCUUUAGCUAGAAAAAAAAAAUCAUUGCAGCUCUUUUGGGCCUGGAUGGUUCUUUUUAAUGUUAAUGGAGGGGAAGUGAUUUAAAUAUGCAUGCUCUUAGCAGUCAGGAUCUGACUUAGUUGUUUUGAGAGAAAAAAAAAUCAAAAGGCAAGGUCUACUUUUUUUCUCUGGGAAUUGAAACCACAAUCAUCUUGAUACUAGAACAGUGUAAGAAAUGAACAUUUGUUCUUCACUUCAGAAUUCAAAUGAGUUUUGCCCAAGGAAUCUGGGAAAUAAGGCAAAUAAGUUGCUCAAUUUUCAAGUAGUCAUUCAAUAGAAAUAUACUCCAUCACUCGGCUUUCUUAUUCUCUGAUGGGGUAUUCUGUAUAGUCUCACUGUUUUCUCCUAAUGGGCAUAUGUAUCUUUGUGGACACUUGGAAGAGAGGUUUUCUUGUACUCUCUCAUUUCUAGAAUCUUUAUACUCUUUUUCCUGCAAGGUUCUCUGCUUUUAACAGAUUUCUGAGGCAACUAUAUUUGUGCUUUUUUCUUAUGUAGGAAGACCAGCGAAACUAGCUUACUGAGUUGUCGAUUUUAUCAGUAGAUAAAGAAACUUUGUUUAUUACAGUUUCAGGGAAGGUUUUUCAGGAUAUUUCUCAGUUAUUCUAAGGGCCAAAUUUUAUAU